rnacentral:rRNA from 1 species
UAACGAAUCUUCCGCAAUGCGCGAAAGCGUGACGGAGCAAUGCCGCGUGCAGGAUGAAGCCCUUCGGGGUGUAAACUGCUGUCAGGGGCUACCAAGUUCUGAGGAACCCCAAAGGAAGGGCCGGCUAACUUCGUGCCAGCAGCCGCGGUAAUACGAAGGGCCCAAGCGUUAUUCGGAAUCACUGGGCUUAAAGCGUACGCAGGCUGGUGUGCAGGUAUCUUGUGAAAUCCCUCCGCUCAACGGAGGAACUGCAGGGUAAACCGCACAUCUUGAGACAGGUAGGGGCGGUCGGAACGAUAGGUGGAGUGGUGAAAUGCGUUGAUAUCUAUCGGAACGCCAAAGGAGAAAUCAGGCCGCUGGGCCUGUUCUGACGCUGAGGUACGAAAGCGUGGGUAGCGAACGGGAUUAGAUACCCCCGUAGUCC